rnacentral:rRNA from 1 species
GACGUAGGGCGCGAGCGUUGUCCGGAAUUAUUGGGCGUAAAGAGCUCGUAGGCGGCUUGUUGCGUCGGCUGUGAAAACCCGCGGCUCAACCGUGGGCUUGCAGCCGAUACGGGCAGGCUAGAGUUCGGUAGGGGAGACUGGAAUUCCUGGUGUAGCGGUGAAAUGCGCAGAUAUCAGGAGGAACACCGGUGGCGAAGGCGAGUCCCUGGACAAAACCUGACACUGAGGCACGAAAGCUAGGGGAGCAAACAGG